UAGCACCACAGCCACCAUCAUUGUGCAUCUAGUUCCUUGGAAGGCCAGCACAGUGGCCACCAGCACCCACCAAAGCACAGUGUCCUCAACAAUGACACCCCUCAUUGUGACAGACGUAGAGGCUUUCUGGAAGCCAGAGCCCUGGUUUGUGGUAGUGCUGACAGCAACUGGUGCAGUUCUCCUCCUGGCUCUGGGUUGGCUCCUCGGCAGGAUCCUUCGGAGGUUGGCCCAGUCACUACAGGCACCGAGCAAACCAGCCAGAGCUCAGUUGUUAAACAGCAUCCAGGGAAGUAGAGGCUCCAUUGAGAGGCAAAUGGAGGCACCAAGCAUGGAGAUGUCCAAGCAACAUUUUGAUGGCAGAGCCCAAGAUGUCUGUACGGGGAGAGAUUACCUGUUCAGCACACUCACGGGAGCCCGGCGUUGGCUGUGAGGCCAAGUAGCUGCUUUACUCUGUGGGGAAUUCCCUUUUCUCAUGAUCAUAGCCUGGAUUUCCAAAUCGAUUUAGUAAUAAAGACUACCAACAG
rnacentral:lncRNA from 1 species